rnacentral:rRNA from 1 species
CGAACGGUAACAGGAAGCAGCUUGCUGCUUCGCUGACGAGUGGCGGACGGGUGAGUAAUGUCUGGGAAACUGCCUGAUGGAGGGGGAUAACUACUGGAAACGGUGGCUAAUACCGCAUAACGUCGCAAGACCAAAGAGGGGGACCUUCGGGCCUCUUGCCAUCAGAUGUGCCCAGAUGGGAUUAGCUAGUUGGUGAGGUAACGGCUCACCAAGGCGACGAUCCCUAGCUGGUCUGAGAGGAUGACCAGCCACACUGGAACUGAGACACGGUCCAGACUCCUACGGGAGGCAGCAGUGGGGAAUAUUGCACAAUGGGCGCAAGCCUGAUGCAGCCAUGCCGCGUGUAUGAAGAAGGCCUUCGGGUUGUAAAGUACUUUCAGCGGGGAGGAAGGUGUUGUGGUUAAUAACCGCAG